AAACGGGGUCUAAUACCGGAUACGACACUCUCGGGCAUCCGAUGAGUGUGGAAAGCUCCGGCGGUGAAGGAUGAGCCCGCGGCCUAUCAGCUUGUUGGUGAGGUAACGGCUCACCAAGGCGACGACGGGUAGCCGGCCUGAGAGGGCGACCGGCCACACUGGGACUGAGACACGGCCCAGACUCCUACGGGAGGCAGCAGUGGGGAAUAUUGCACAAUGGGCGAAAGCCUGAUGCAGCGACGCCGCGUGAGGGAUGACGGCCUUCGGGUUGUAAACCUCUUUCAGCAGGGAAGAAGCGAAAGUGACGGUACCUGCAGAAGAAGCGCCGGCUAACUACGUGCCAGCAGCCGCGGUAAUACGUAGGGCGCGAGCGUUGUCCGGAAUUAUUGGGCGUAAAGAGCUCGUAGGCGGUCUGUCGCGUCGGAUGUGAAAGCCCGGGGCUUAACCCCGGGUCUGCAUUCGAUACGGGCAGACUAGAGUGUGGUAGGGGAGAUCGGAAUUCCUGGUGUAGCGGUGAAAUGCGCAGAUAUCAGGAGGAACACCGGUGGCGAAGGCGGAUCUCUGGGCCAUUACUGACGCUGAGGAGCGAAAGCGUG
rnacentral:rRNA from 1 species